GUACUAUAAGCGUGCAGAGUAACUCUUGGUGCUGUCCUGUGGACCUAGCUGUCCUAGAGAAGAUCCUUUUCAGACAAAUAACGCAGGCAAACACUUUUGACUACUGAGGUCUUUCCACAAAGAAAUAAGGGAAUCACACUGACCUUUUUCCCUGAGAUGUGCGCUUCAAGCCAGUGGCCCAGAGAGAAGCUCUAAGGGAUGACGGGCACAGUCCUCAGUCUCUAAAACAUAGCUGGAGACUGACUUGUUCAAAUCCAGUCCUUGGCUAUGAAGAUCCCUGUAAGGACAGAUGGGCCACCAUACUUGUCACAUUCUUACCCUUCAUUCAUAGGAACUCAUACCUCUAGGCAUGUUCAGUACUGAAGCCAGUUCUUAGUUCAUUUCCAAAGAACAAGUUUAUCGUCUCUAAACCUGGCUCUGUCAAUGUUGCAAUCUGCCAGCUUUGCUGUUACCUGUGCCCCCUUGAUGUGGACCUAUGCAUCUUAGGAUUUCCAGGCUGGGCCUGGACUCUUUCAUCACCUACGUUAUGCAUGAAACAGGAGCCAAUAAAGCCCACUGAGUCCCCAGAGGAAAAUCAUGGUGCAGGACUGCAGUCAAUGACCAUUUCACCAAGUUUUUAUUUACCAGAGAUUUACUAAAGAUGUCAAGGGAACCGCAUUCUCAUUUCCCAACUUGGUAUCCUUUUUGUGGGGAGCUAGCUCUGACACUAAUCAGCAAUGUCCUCCACCCUCAGGCAGCAGCAUGAAAUCCUAAAGAGCCUUUGCCAAGCUUCUGCUGGCCAGCCUUUGAAAAGUCUGAGUCUUCUCAUUGAUGAACACCCAAAGAGCAACCAACAAAAUGAUCUUCACUCCCCAUAAAGACCACGGCUCCCCAGUAGUCCUGCUAGUGUACUCUUUAGACCACAGAGGUUUCUUGGGCUGGAAUAAUCUUCUUCUGACCUAUACUUAAGAUCAAAAUGAAGAUGAGAUUAUGUGUUCCAUCAUGGCUUCUGCAAAUGUCAAAUGUGUUUAAAUUUACAUGCCUCUCUUCUAAUUUAUCCUUGAAAGUGGGAUAUGGACUCCUGCUAUCCAAAGUUUUAGAUGGGGAAAAUAAUGCAAUCCCAACCAACCUAAAACCCCCAAUCAGUUUCCCCCAUGUAUCACUAAAACCCUCUUAAAACCCAUGACAAUCAAAGGAACUCAAACAAAACAAGCAUUGUUUUCCUAAAUAACAUUUAAUGUACUAAUUAGGUAUCUGUGUACAGUACACAAUGGUGCUAUAGACAGUACAACAGGAAUUAUGACUUCUUUCUAUACCACAGUAAAGUACUACCAAUAGUGAUGGUGUAAAUGCAAAUGCUAGCAUACUUCAAAGUAAAACUGGGCUUCAUCUGUGGAAUGUUUAGUCACUGCCCUUCAAGUUGAAGGGGAAUGAGAGUUCACUAGAGAACAAAUGGGAAAAUUGACCAGGAUUCAACCACAUCUGAAGUCAAGGAAUGGUCCCAAAGUAGAUAAAUGUGUCCUACCAUCUGAAGCCAUAGAACAAGAGUAGAAGGGUAUGUUGUCUUCCCUCUGUUGGCAAUUAGGUGGCUUGAGACUUCGUAUGCUCUUGCAAGUGAGCAUAAGAGAAGCAUUGUAUUCAAACCUGCAGUCAUGACUGCAGUUCAAGGAUUUUAAAGGCUUGGCAUUAUUUAGCCUCUUCUGCUAGUGAGAAGAAUCAAACUGAACGUGUUCUUCAGUGGCAAUUUCUUGGCCCUUGCUAAUGAGAGUGGGUUUAGUUGACAAUGUUAAACAGUCACUAUUUAAAAUUCUGCAGUCUCAGAAGUUUUUGUGAGGGUAGUAUAAUUCUCUAGAAAUAGGGAACUAGACCCUGCUUAAAUAAUUCUUGGUUCCUGGGUCCUCAUAGAGACAGAAGGAACAGAAACAAAAACCUUAGUUAUAGGGACUUCAAGUUCUGGUCAUCCCUAUGUGAUGCAGUGGAAUUCUACCGAGAUACUCCUGAGACUAUACAACCAAGUUCCUAGUAGUGGGAUCCUUCACCUGAGUGAGCUCAGUCCCCUCUAUGGAAACCUGGGCUGUCUUCUGUCCUGUCCUGUGGGGCUCUGGAAUGGCCCUCAGUGGGUCUGAAAGUAGAUUUCUAAGCAAAAUGCUCUCUAUCUCUGCCCAAAGGCCUUUCCAGGAUAGAUUACUGGGAUAAGUGUGGUCAACUUGGUUUUGCCAAAGGGGCAUGAAUGUGAGCCCUCACUGGGGAGGGUCUGCCCUUCCCUGAUAACUUCUAACAAUGUCAUUUCUCAUAAGGACAUCUCCACUUCACUCUGAUACAUGAAGUUGUCUUUCUUUCUUUGGAUCUGAUUCCUGAACCUGUCCUUGUGGACCAAAGCUCUUAUAUCCUGGUCAAGUGGGAAGAAGGAAGCUUUGAGUCCCAGUUACUUCAUGCAAUGGUGUUCUGUCCUUCAUCAGGAAGUCUACUGGCCUGUGAGCUGAACUUCUCAUAAUAGUCAACUCACCUUGUGUCUAUCUUCUCUCUAUACACCAUCUGCAUGGAAUCCCCCAUAAAAAUACCUUGAUCAGGAUCCUAACUGGAGACUGAAUCCAUCUCUGAUUACCCACAGGUAUGGGCAGGGUUGAGGGAACCAACAAGAGAAGUUGGUGUGUCCCUCUGCUCUCUCAGGACUUCAUGACCACCCAAUCCCUCCCAGAGCUGAGAGAACAGGGGAAGUAACCAGUGCUCCUGGGCCUGACUGAGCUGUUAUCAUGGAAGCCGAAGUCAUAAAGGGAAGUGGCCCCUGGCUGGGGGAGAAGGCAACUGACUAACCUCCCUUCACUUUUCCCUCCAUCAGCUGCUGGUGCCUCUCAUUGACUACAUCUACUCACUCUCUUGCCCUGUCUUCCAGAUGAAGACAAACAGGUGAUCCUCUCUGAGCACAGGACAUGGUGAAGAAGUUCUCAGGGAAGGGCCUACCCUCUAAAGAUGUCAUUUCUUACAAGGACAUAUCCACUUCAAUCUGAUACAUGAAGUUGUCUUUCUCUCCUUGGAUCUGAUUCCUGAACACUGUCCUUGUGGACCAAAGCUCUUAUAUCCUGAUGAAGUGGGAAGAAGGAAGCUCUGAGUCCCAGUUACUUCAUGCAGUGAUGUUCUGCCCUUCAUCAGGAAGUCUACUGGCCUGUGAGCUGAACUUCUCAUAAUAGUCAACUCACCUUGUGUCUAUCUUCUCUCUAUACACCAUCUGCAUGGAAUCCCCCAUGCAAAUACCUUGAUCAGGAUCCUAACUGGAGACUGAAUCCAUCUCUGAUUACCCAUAGGUAUGGGCAGGGUUGAGGGAACCAACAAGAGAAGUUGGUGUGUCCCUCUGCUCUCUCAGGACUUCAUGACCACCCCACCCUUCCCAGAGCUGAGAGGACGGGGGAAGUAACCAGUGCUUCUGGUAACAGGCUUCUGGAAUCCUCCUGACUGAGCUGUUGUCAUGGAAGCUGAAGUCAUAAAGAAAAGUGGUCCCUGGCUGGGGAGAAGGCGAUGGACUACCCAACCUCCUCCACUUUCUAUCACCUGCUGGUGCCUCUCAUUGACUACAUCUACUUGCUCUCUUGUCCUGUCUUCCAGGUGAAGACAAGCAGGUGAUCCUCUCUGAACACAGGACAGAGUGAAGAAGUUCUCAGGGAAGGGCUGACCCUCCAAAGAUGUAAUUUCUUACAAGGACAUCUCCACUUUGAUACAUGAAGCUAUCUUUCUCUCCUUGGAUCUGAUUCCUGAAUGCUGUCACCAUGUACCAAUGCUCUCAUAUCCUGAUUGAGUUGGAAGAAGGAAGCUUGAGUCCCAGUUACUUCAUGCAAUGGUGUGCUGUGCAUCAGGAAGUCUACUGGCCUGUGAGCUGAUCUUCUCAUAGUCAACUCACCUUCUGUCCACAUACCAUUUGUAUGGAAUCCCACACACAAAUACCACUAUCAGGAUCCUAACUGGAGAUAGAAUCCAUCUCUGAUUACCCACAGGUAUGGGCAAGGUUGAGGGAACUAACAAGAAGUUGGCAUGUCCCUCUACUUUCUCAGGGCUUCAUGACCACCCCAACGCUCCCAGAGCUGAGAGGACAGAGAAGUAACCAGUGCUCCUGGGCCUGACUGAGCUGUUAUCAUGGAACCAGAAGUCAUAAAGGGAAGUGGCCCCUGGCUGGGGAGAAGGCAACUGAUUACCCUCCCUCCACUUGUCUUUCCAUCACCUGCUGGUGCCUCUCAUUGACUACAUCUACUCACUCUCUUGCCCUGUCUUCCAGGUGAAGACAAACAGGUGAUCCUCUCUGAGCACAGGACAGAGUGAAAAAUGAUAGGCUAGAUCUCUGGAGGCAAACAAAAUAAUCAGCACACCCACUCAGAGAUCCUGCUGUCAGCCUAUUUUUGGCCUGUGUUCAACUAUAGAGAGGAAGAUUGACCCUUUCUGGUAUCAGAAAUGUAUAUGAUCCUCCCUACCAUUGGAAUCCCCUGCACUAGGCUGGCCCCUGCAUACUUAGAGCCUCUAUUUUUACUGUGGUCUUCCUGCCUUAGUCAUAAGGAGAUUCCCUCCACAUUGUGCCUGAUACAGUUGUCCUAUCCGAUCUCACCACCAUUGCUGCCAUCAUUGAUACUCUCCUGCUGGGGCCUCCUCCUGCUUAAGUUCUUUUCUGUUCUGCUGCUGUGACUGACAUCGACUCUAUACCUCCUGUCCCCACUACUACAUUAAAGCCCCUUGCGGACAAGAGAUCAAAAAUUAAGUGUGAUAUUCUCAAUGCAGUGAGAAUAUUCCUGGUUUUUCUCAGUUCUCACUGGAACGUAGUUCUCCGACUGGUUCUCUGUACAAUUAAAGAAAGCUGCAUGCGAGCAGACGAAACUAUGGCUUAAAAGGCUGAAGGUGCAGGGAUCUGAACUCAAUUCUGGGACAGCUGCUUCAUUAACAGAAAUUAGCAUCUUGGAAGUAUCUCCUAUCCUAGGGCUUGUUCUUUGUGGAUACAGAAGAUGCCCAGGGAUUCUGUCUACAUCCCUUGGGUUCUUUGCCAUUUUCACAGCCACUGGCUCCCGACACUUUGCCUCUUAACAGCCAGUGCUCUAUCGUUGAAGGAUGGGCCUCAGGCUGCCUUGACUGCACACAUGGAGAAUCAGGUGCUUUUUAACUAACAACUGAAGGAUGCAGGGCAAAUCCCUCAGCUUAAGGCUCUUCCCUGAGGAUGACCAUGGCACUUCCAGCUGCAGGUCUGGGGUGGCUGCUCAUCUCUUGAACCACUUUCCUCCCACAUCCCUUGUGUACUGCACCCUACCACCCCAAUUUCUCCCUGGGAAGUACAUUGAUUUGUGCUAGCAACUGCUUACUGGAGGACCCAGCUGUUAGAGUGGACACUUUCUCUGGAUGUUGGGUGAAGCCUAUGUAGGAUUAAAGGAGAGGAAGCAGACAAGGAGAGCCUCAGGUCAUGAUGCAGAUAUAAGGUCUGAAGCCCCAGUGAUGUGCUCCAAAGACUGCUCGAAGCUAUGCUGCAUUGGGCAGAAAUGGCCAGGCACUACUACCCCUACUGUGCUCAGUCAUCAGCUGGAUUUGCUUGGGGAGACCACAGUGACAAGUGCUGCGAUGGAUCCCAAAGGCAGUGCAGCUACCUGCCAUCCUACAGCUGAAUGCCAAGGCUUGCCUUGAAAAGCAAUUCAAGCAGCCCAUCUCCAGGGCUGUCACAUGGAGCUUUCUUUAACCCAUCCUUCCCCCUCUGAAUGCUGGGAGAAGCUAAAUGCUGGUAGUCUUCCUCCAGCUUCAAAUCCAAUUAAGUUCACUGGAGAAUCUGGGCAAUGCCUCCAGAUAACAUUCCUACUUCCAGCCUGGACAGUGUCACACAGUAGUAGCCCUCCUACAAAUCUGUGGUGCUAAUAGCAGUCAUAAUGUUAUAAAUAAAGUUUCGGUGCCACAAAAGAAA